rnacentral:rRNA from 1 species
GGUUUAAGGGUCCGUAGGCGGCUUUAUAAGUCAGUGGUGAAAUCCGGUUGAAAACUAUCGAACUGCCAUUGAUACUGUAGAGCUUGAAUUAUUGUGAAGUAACUAGAAUAUGUAGUGUAGCGGUGAAAUGCUUAGAUAUUACAUGGAAUACCAAUUGCGAAGGCAGGUUACUAACAAUACAUUGACGCUGAUGGACGAAAGCGUGGGGAGCGAACAGGAUUAGAUACCCUGGUAGUCCACGCCGUAAACGAUGGAUACUAGCUGUUCGGUAGCAAUACUGAGUGGCUAAGCGAAAGUGAUAAGUAUCCCACCUGGGGAGUACGAACGCAAGUUUGAAACUCAAAGAAAUUGACGG